CCUACGGGAGGCUGCAGUGAGGAAUAUUGGUCAAUGGACGAGAGUCUGAACCAGCCAAGUAGCGUGAAGGAUGACUGCCCUAUGGGUUGUAAACUUCUUUUAUAUGGGAAUAAAACGUUCCACGUGUGGGAUUUUGUAUGUACCAUAUGAAUAAGGAUCGGCUAACUCCGUGCCAGCAGCCGCGGUAAUACGGAGGAUCCGAGCGUUAUCCGGAUUUAUUGGGUUUAAAGGGAGCGUAGGUGGAUUGUUAAGUCAGUUGUGAAAGUUUGCGGCUCAACCGUAAAAUUGCAGUUGAAACUGGCAGUCUUGAGUACAGUAGAGGUGGGCGGAAGUCGUGGUGUAGCGGUGAAAUGCUUAGAUAUCACGAAGAACUCCGAUUGCGAAGGCAGUUCACUGGACUGCAACUGACACUGAGGCUCGAAAGUGUGGGUAUCAAACAGGAUUAGAUACCCCAGUAGUC
rnacentral:rRNA from 1 species